AUGCAAGUCGAACGGUAACAUGACUAGCUUGCUAGUUGAUGACGAGUGGCGGACGGGUGAGUAACGCGUAGGAAUCUACCCAGUAGCGGGGGAUAAGCCAGAGAAAUUUGGUCUAAUACCGCAUACGCCCUUCGGGGGAAAGCAGGGGAUCUUCGGACCUUGCACUAUUGGAUGAGCCUGCGUGAGAUUAGCUUGUUGGUGAGGUAAUGGCUCACCAAGGCGACGAUCUCUAGCUGGUCUGAGAGGAUGAUCAGCCACACUGGAACUGAGACACGGUCCAGACUCCUACGGGAGGCAGCAGUGGGGAAUAUUGCACAAUGGGCGCAAGCCUGAUGCAGCCAUGCCGCGUGUGUGAAGAAGGCCCUAGGGUUGUAAAGCACUUUCAGCAGUGAGGAAAGGUUAGUAGUUAAUACCUGCUAGCUGUGACG
rnacentral:rRNA from 1 species